GGUUCCCUAGUGUAGCAGUUAGCUCGUCUGCUUUACAUGCAGAAAGUCCUGGGUUUGUGCCCCAGUGGAGCCA
rfam:Pteropus alecto contig94981, whole genome shotgun sequence.